UCUGGUGGCCAUAGUGGAGAGGCAAUACCCGUUCCCAUCCCGAACACGGAAGUCAAGCUCUCUAACGCCGAUGAUACUGCCUUCGUGGUGGGAAAGUAGGUAGCUGCCAGAC
rnacentral:rRNA from 1 species